rnacentral:rRNA from 1 species
GACGAACGCUGGCGGCGUGCCUAAUACAUGCAAGUCGAGCGGAGUUAAAAGCUUGCUUUUUAACUUAGCGGCGGACGGGUGAGUAACACGUGGGGAACCUGCCUUUAAGACUGGGAUAACUUCGGGAAACCGAGGCUAAUACCGGAUAACAUCUUUUAACACAUGUUAGAAGAUUAAAAGAUGGUGCAAGCUAUCACUUAGAGAUGGCCCCGCGGCGCAUUAGCUAGUUGGUGAGGUAACGGCUCACCAAGGCAACGAUGCGUAGCCGACCUGAGAGGGUGAUCGGCCACACUGGGACUGAGACACGGCCCAGACACCUACGGGUGGCAG